AUUGAACGCUAGCGGGAGGCCUAACACAUGCAAGUCGAACGAGUGGCGGACGGGUGAGUAAUGUCUCGGAAAUUGCCUGAUGGAGGGGGAUAACUACUAGAAACCGUAGCUAAUACGGCAUACCAUUAUAUGUGCCCAGAGGGGUUUAGCUAGUUGGUGGGGUAACGGCUCACCAAGGCAACGAUCCAUAGCUGGUCUGAGAGGAAGACCAGCCACACUGGAACUGAGACACGGUCCAGACUCCUACGGGAGGCAGCAGUAGGGAAUAUUGCACAAUGGGCGCAAGCCUGAUGCAGCCAUGCCGCGUGUAUGAAGAAGGCCUUCGGGUUGUAAAGUACUUUGAGCAGGGAGGCGGUAUCUGCAGAAGAAGCACCGGCUAACUACGUGCCAGCAGCCGCGGUAAUAC
rnacentral:rRNA from 1 species